rnacentral:lncRNA from 1 species
AAAGAACCCCCUCCCUCACUGGACCAGGCGGCCCUUGCUCGCAGGCCAGACCGGCCCACCUGGCCAACCGCCGGCCCAGCCCCUCCUCGGGUCGCCUUCCCCCCUGUUCCCCCGACCGGGGUCGCAACAGGGGCGAGCCCCUGUGACGCCCGGAUAAUCAAGUUACAGUAAAACUCUGCUAACGAUGCCAUGUCACCAUGAUCACUUAGUUAACCUCGGGUUAGUUCAAAAAACGAUUCAAAAUUCAAAUUCAAAUUCAAGUCAAACAACUAAAGUUUUCAAAAGUCAAAACUAAAAUGUUCUCAAUGUGACAAAUAAAUCAUGGAUAUUAUUGGUGGAGAAAUAACAUCUUUGUAAAAUAAUUAAAUACCCCAAAGUGAUUAAAACAACAGCAUAAACAAUUAAUUAUACCCCUAUUAUAUUUUACAAAAUACUAAAUUAUUUUAGCUAGGUGCCCAAGUUAUUGUGGCAGUAGUAUAUUUACAAAUACUAAGUUAGGUGCUGGUGAUAAAUUUUACAAAACUAAAAAAAUAGAUAAAUAAAAGAAAAAAAGAAAAGAAAUAAAACAACCCCCCCAAGCUGGACCGAACGGCCCAGCUGGCCGCCGCACCGGCCGGCCUACCAGGCCCAGUCGGGCCUCCUUAUCCCUCCCACCCCCGAAACCCUAACCCCCACGAUCCCCUUCCCCCCCUCUGGAUCGGGAUCGGCCCCGAUCCCGUCGACCCCGACGCCCAGCGCUCACCGCCGCCCGGGACCGCCUCGCCGGACUUUUCCCCGCCGUCCCUACGCCCCGUCACCGCCGGCGCCUCCUCGUCUCCUCCCCACGCCGGACUCCUCUGCGCCCCUUCUCUCCCUCGCACGGCUCCCGCCAGAGCCGUGGCCGUCGCCCGUCCACGCGCCGCCGUCGAUCUGGAACUGGGACUCGGCCCCGAGGCCACCGCCGCGCGGAGCUCGCCGUCGUCCGCCCCGGCCUCUCCCUCGCCGGACCGCGUCGUCCCCGCCUCUCCUUCGCCGGUCCUCCCCGCGCCUCGCCGCCUCUUCUCUUCAACGGGGGUGAGCUCCCCGUCGGGCCCCGUCCGUCUUCCCCCCUCCGUCCCAACGCCGUGGCCGCACUCGGUCCCCGCAGACCCGCGCACCAUCCCUGUGCGUGCUCACCGCCGCCGCUCCCGUCGGGCCCCCGCCUCCGCCCGUGCCCCGCCCGGCCGUGUUACCUGCCGCUGGCCCCGCCCACGACGGCUCCAGCCGCCGCUGCUCUCGUAGCUUCCCGGAGCCCCUCCGCCGUGGUUCACCGAAGCCGUUCCGUCGUGGCCGUAGGCCACGUUCGCCAACCGCCGGCGCCCCGCCUCUGGGUGUGCUCGUGCGUGAGCAGCACGUGCCACCGACACGCGGGCCCCAGCAGAUUAGAUUAGGAACUAAUCUAAUUACCCAAACUAGCUAACCUCUAAUAGACACUAACAGCAGGGCCCCACCUACUAAUUAGGAUAAAUUAAAUUAAAACAAGACCCUGUUAAAAGGUAGGAGCCAAUGACAAACGGGGCCCACGCCCCUGGGAAAAAAAGAUUUAAAAAAAAGAUAAUAAUAAAAUAAAAUAAAAUAAAAAAUAAAAUAAAAUAAAGUUAUAACAAUAAUAAUAAUAAAAUUUAGUUAAUUAACUUAAUUAAUCUGUUUAAUUAAAUAAUUAAAACUAAUUAUUCAAUUAAUAAAAACUAACUACUAUUUAGUUAACCUGAGACUAUGACGAACGGGACCCACGCGUCUGUUGACCCAGUCAACAGAUGGUUGACUGAUGACAUCAUGCUGACCUCAUGCUGACGUCAUAAUUAAUUUUCUAAUUGAAUUAAUUCUAUUAAUUCUAGAAAUAAUUUAAAUCUUUAUAAAUUAAUGUAAAAUAAUCCGUAGCUCGGAUGAAAAAACUUUGUACAUGAAAGUUGCUCAGAACGACGAGACGAAUCCGGAUACACAGUCCGUUCGUCCACCACACCUCCCUAACCUAUCGAACUCGCAACUUUCCCCCUCCGGUCCGUUUGUCCGAAAACGAGAAACACCGGGGAUACUUUCCCGGAUGUCUCCCCCCUUCACCGGUAUCACCUCAUACCGCGUUAGAACACGUCUAGCUCUGCCUGUUGUCCUGUUAUGCACUUGCUUGCUAUGUAUUUACUGUUUCUCCCCCUCUUCUCUUCGGUAGACCUCGUGACGAUGCUGAUGCCCCUGUGGUCGACUACGUCACCGAUGACCCCUCCUUCUUGUCUGAGCAACCAGGCAAGCCCCCCCCCCUUGAUCACCAGAUAUCGCCUAUUCUUCUCUAUACUGCUUGCAUUAGAGUAGUGUAGCAUGUUACUGCUUUCCGUUAAUCCUAUCCUGAUGCAUAGCCUGUCAUUGAUGCUACAGUUGUUACCUUUACCUGAAAUCCUACAUGCUUAGUAUAGGAUGCUAGUGUUCCAUCAGUGGCCCUACACUCUUGUCCGUCUGCCAUGCUAUACUACUGGGCCGUGAUCACUUCGGGAGGUGAUCACGGGUAUAUACUAUAUACUUUAUAUACAUGACACAUGUGGUGACUAAAGUCGGGUCGGCUCGAGGAGUACCCGCAAGUGAUUCUGAUGAGGGGGCUGAAAGGACAGGUGGCUCCAUCCCAGUAGAGGUGGGCCUGGGUUCCUGACGGCUCCCGACUGUUACUUGUGGCGGAGCGACAGGGCAGGUUGAGACCACCUAGGAGAGAGGUGGGCCUGGCCCUGGUCGGCGUUCGCAGAUACUUAACACGCUUAACGAGAUCUUGGUAUUUGAUCUGAGUCUGGCCAUUUGGUCUAUACGCACUAACCAUCUACGCGGGAGUAGUUAUGGGUAUCCCGAUGUCGUGGUAUCAGCCGAAGCUCUUUUGACGUCAGCGACUGAGUGGCGCGCGCCGCAUUGGACCGUAAGCUCGCGCUUGUAUUAAGGGGGCUAGGUCUGCUUCCGGCCGCGUACGCAACGUGCAGGUGUGCAUAGGGCGAUGGGCCCAGACCCCUGCGCGCAUAGGUUUAGACCGGCGUGCUGACCUCUCUGUUGAGCCUAGGUGGGGCUGCGACGUGUUGAUCUUACGAGGCCGGGCAUGACCCAGAAAAGUGUGUCCGGCCAAAUGGGAUCGAGCGUGUUGGGUUAUGUGGUGCACCCCUGCAGGGAAGUUUAUCUAUUCGAAUAGCCGUGUCCCUCGGUAAAAGGACGACCCGGAGUUGUACCUUGACCUUAUGAAAACUAGAACUGGAUACUGAAUAAAAUACACCCUUCUAAGUGCCAGAUACAACCCGGUGAUCGCUCUCUAACAGGGCGACGAGGAGGGGAUCGCCGGGUAGGAUUAUGCUAUGCGAUGCUACUUGGAGGACUUCAAUCUACCCUCUUCUAUAUGCUGCAAGAUGGAGAUGGCCAGAAGCGUAGUCUUCGACAGGACUAGCUAUCCCCCCUUAUUCUGGCAUUCUGCAGUUCAGUCCAGUGAUAUGCCCCUUUACACAUAUACCCAUGCAUAUGUAGUGUAGCUCCUUGCUUGCGAGUACUUUGGAUGAGUACUCACGGUUGCUUUUCUCCCACUUUUCCCUUUUUCUAUACCGGAUUGUCUCAAUCAGAUGCUGGAGUCCAGGAGCUAGAGAUCCCGAGGAUGAUGCUACAUGGAGUUCGGCUUCGAGGAGUAGUUAGGAGGUCCCAGGCAGGAGGCCUUGCCUUUUCGAUCGUUGCUACUUUUGUGCUAGCCUUCUUAAGGCAAACUUGUUUAACUUAUGUCUGUACUCAGAUAUUGUUGCUUCCGCUGACUCGUCUGUGAUCGAGCACUUGUAUUCGAGCCCUCGAGGCCCCUGGCUUGUAUUAUGAAGCUUGUAUGACUUAUUUUUGUUUUAGAGUUGUGUUGUGAUAUCUUCCCACGAGUCCCUGAUCUUGGUCGUACACAUUUGCGUGCAUGAUUAGUGUACGGUCAAAUCGGGGGCGUCACAAGUUGGUAUCAGAGCUAGGUUUCGAUCCUGGGACCUGUGGGUUAUGGGCCCACGUCGCCAUUGGGUGGUAUUAGGAUCUUUUACUCCUUGCCUAUACUCUGGGACUCUGAUCUCUCUUCUAUCCGGGUUAAAUGAUUUUACUAAAUCUAACAUUAGGAUCUCGUUAUCACUUUCACCCGGAGAGCCCCUUAUUUACUAAUGAUCGUCUGCUGCACGUGAAGACCCUGAAGAUACUCUCUGCUGAUAACCCGAGGACUUGUGUUCAUCGCUUUUGCAAUUCCCUUUCAUCGAUAAACUCCUAUGGAUAACCACGUAUACUCGCCAUUCAUACAAUGUUUCCCAGUUCAUCUUGUUAUUACAAGAUACCCCGAAAUUCUCUCUGUUGUUCCGAGAAUCCUUUGAGCUUACUGCCUUGCUGUUCUUUGUCACCUGAAUACCCCUACGGAUAAUUCUCGCACUUACCGAGUAUCCGGUCAUCCCAAGUUGAUUCAAGUAUUCCUCAAUAGUCUUCAAAAUACUAUUCGAUCUUUCGAAAAUCCUCAGGAGCCUAUUGCUCUUGAAAUUCUUGUUUGCUUGCAUUAUGGUUAAUCCCAUAAGUCUCGUAAUCUUAUUGGCAUCUCUUGUCAUUAUCAUUUUGAGUCCGUUGAUUCAAUUUGUUGCGAAUGCUCGCAAUCCUCAAUCAUAUCCUAGAAUUCAUUCUUCCGGCUCAGACGUCAUUUUAAACAUGAGCUGGAUCUCGACCAAUCAAAUCGUCAUCGAUUGUACCCCUAAGGCUAUUCGACUUAUCCAUCCCUAAUCAGAGCGUUGCUUCUGAUCCCUUGUCUUGGAAUUCAUAAUUCCUUUGCAUUUGAGCUUUUGAGUUAGUCAGUUGUUUCUAUAGUCUGAUCUCCUUGCAUUCUUUCUUCCUCUGGUUGAGUACUGAUGCUCACAUCAGAUCCCUUGGGGACCACCAGACCUUUUUGUCGGAUUUUAUCCGACAAUGUCCUCCAUAUUAAAUAAGCUGGUGAGCUUUUCCUCGGAUACAUGACGCCUUUGGUAAAUUGUAUCCUCUGCCUUGUGAACCAUACUCUACUUUCGAGCUUGUAUUAUUUACUCCGAAGUUCGUGGUAUAUUUUCUAAGAAACCCUGAUGGGUUGAACCUAUGCCUUCCUUAAUAUGUGUGAACUCGAAAGUUUUCACGAGUCAUACUCUCCUGGUAUUUUGCCAUAUAAAAUUUCAACACUACAACUUCAUCGAACGCGAGAAGUAAAUGAAAGGAUAUGCAUUGGAGAAGUGGGAGUCGACCUUGAACUUUGUGUUCAUGCCCAUGGACACGAUGUAGAUCUUAUCAUUAAAAGCUCCUCUUAAAUUAAUUAUUCCCUUGGUAUAAGUUCAUCUUAUAUCUGGGAUCUGGCCUUUUGCAAUCGUGGUUCCGACCAUGUUCUCCUUUAAAUACCAUUUCUUGGACAAGUUAAAUCACUUGUCUUCUGCAGGUCAAUACGCCUGCCCAACCUCUAUUAUGAUCUACCUUUGAGUAUUACCCCUGGUAUCUCGGGGAUAUCUUACCAUUGCACUACAUCUUAUAAACUUUGAUGAAGUACUACCUUACCUUGUCUUUGUCACUUCAUGGGCUCUGGGUUGUUUGUCAACCGAGAACACCGAUUAGUGAAUCAAGUCCGCACUCCGAUUCAAUAACUCUAGGUAAUUUUCGUUGCUUACGAGUUUAAUAAUCAUUAAGUCAUUCCUAGCCUGAUUGGCUAUAUCAUUAGCGUGCUAAAUUUUAACUGUGCUACCUGGUCCUUAACCCCGGAGCACAACUUUCGAUGAUGAGCUAAGCUUACGCCGAUCUUCCUCUCAUGCCAUUUCACCUUGAACAACAAGCUUGAUUUCAAGCGUGUGUCCUACCCAUGGUUCCAAUAACCGUCUGCUUCAUCAUUCCUUUGACUUGAUGUCGUCGCUGAUUUUACAUCUUCAUGAAAUCUCUCGACAAAUGUGUCGUGAUCAUCAUCAACCUUAUGCGCUCUUCCAGGAUAUCGAUUGAGUUCAUGAUGAGAAAUACCAUCCUUGCCCUCGAUGAUCUGUGUUAUCAUCGACCACUUUAUUGCCUUCCCACCAACACAAGCUUGUUCGUGUUUGGUGUUAUACCUUGAGUUCCUUGCUAUCCAGCAAUUGUUCUUCUUUACCUUGGAGUAUUACCAUCUUUUAUGUCAAGUAUGUCGUAAGAAUUUCACCACCUCGCAUGACAUCUUGGUACAGUGAUACUUCUCCCCAUCACCAUUCUUUCUUGGUCCCCGUGUUGUUUCUAAAAGGAAUACCAACAAAUGGGCUGUGAUGUGUAAAUUCUAAACUUCUAGCAACCCUAUUGCUUUGAAGUCAUUGGUCUAUAGUUUCAUUCCACGUCUAUGGCUUAAUGAAUCAUCAUUCGAACAUUGAUUGUGCUACCUAGCCCAUAUUUCGGGUGCACAUUUCAACCAAUGUUUAACUGUGUAUGUUUUCCUCGAGCAUACAUCAUUAAGUCAUUCGAUCUAGCUAAUGUUAUCUCCUUGUUCACAUAGUGGUGGAAAUCCAUCUUUUGGAAAUCUCAAUGGAUUGUCGCUGGGUCAAGCAGUCACCUCCUCACCUCUCCUUGAUGUAAUGAUGAACCCUUGUCCGGAACUCGCUUCCAUAGUUCAUCUCCCGAGAAUCUCCGGUGUCGUUUCGACAAUUUGUGUUGCACCUUUCUUCUCAGGCAUCCUGAGUCUGAGUUAUCCUGACACCAAUCAGAUCUGAAUCUCGGUCAGAUGUGAUGGUUGGAACAUAUUUCCAAGAGUUAUAACAUUGGCCUAUUUAAGAUCCGGUAAGGUGAUGCCAUGCUUAACACACCUGUCCGGGGAACCUAUUGUUAUAGUUUCCUUUUUAGCAAGGUUAGCCAUUCUUCCAUGAGGAAAUUGUAAGACUUAUUCUAUCAGUUGUUCCUGAUGGAUCCUUUUUGUUUCCAAAUUAUGAUCUUCACCUGUUGACCAUGUCAAUGCUAUCACAAAGCAUGCCUAUGGUACUCCGAUAUUCAACGGGAACAUUCAAGCACAAUGCUAAAUGUUUCCUGCACAAUUAUCCAAACACCGCUGUAUGGGUAAUGUCAUGAAAAUUCUCUCCCAUACCUAAAGAGUUUUCUACAUUAUAUCAUGUCAUGGAUAUCAUGCUCUGCUUGUCCUUGGGAAGGAUAUACCCUUGAAAUAUGUGUUUACACACAUUUUCCUUUCCAUUCUUCUGUUUAAUCUGAUAAACAUAUUUUCCUUUUCAUUGUUUGGUUUAACCUUUCUGAUGAUCUAUAUGAUCUAAGCAGCAAUAUUCUCCUGCUUAUGUAAACACCUCGGUGUACAACUCUGUCAGUAAGACCCUGUUACUAUUGUUAGUGACAUUUCGGUAACCACCGAUGGACGAGAACUUUGCCUAAUGGUCCGCCUCGUUUCAACGAGCAGGAAAAUGGUUCUCUUCGUCCCUUGCCCUUGGUACCGACGAUGUUGCUGACAUUUAAUCGACAGGCUACCCUCUGACAUGUCUUACUAACAUGACCAUGCAAGAUGUCACCGUUCCUCCUACUUUUAAUCCACAUGGUGGGCCCAUAACCCACAGUUCCACAGGAUCGAAACCUGACUCUCCUGUGCACCCCCUGUUCCCAAAUUUAUUCAUCACGCGUGGCCUCGUAUGUAAUUCACGGACCAUCGUCCUACUGAUCUAUACUGGCAUCAGACAUAAUACUUAUUCCGAUUGCUUUGAACCCAUUUCACACUUUGUUUCAGGCUUCGAACGAUUGCCUACCCGUUGAAACUUCUCAUGGUACUUUCUUACUUGCUCUCGGCUUUUCUUUAGGUUUAGUUCGAGAGAUACUUUCCGCCACCUUCCCCGAUGAUAUUGACCAGAUAGUAAACCCUGCAGAAGUCCGUUCCUCCAGAAUACCCCCUUACUCUGUCGUAAGUACGAUGGAGUUCCCGAGGAAAGGACGACAACUUUAUCAUGAUGAUCUGAAACAGCAGAAUGAAGACAUCAAAGUAUUGGAUCAGCCUCUUCGAGAAGAGCAAGCCAGGAUGAGAAGACCCGCUAGAUUCGUUACCAAACCUUCCCCCCUUACUCCCCUCUUAAAUCUCGGGACGAGAUUUCUUGUAGUGUAGGAGAAUUGUGACGCCCGGAUAAUCAAGUUACAGUAAAACUCUGCUAACGAUGCCACGUCACCAUGAUCACUUAGUUAACCUCGGGUUAGUUCAAAAAACGAUUCAAAAUUCAAAUUCAAAUUCAAGUCAAACAACUAAAGUUUUCAAAAGUCAAAACUAAAAUGUUCUCAAUGUGACAAAUAAAUCAUGGAUAUUAUUGGUGGAGAAAUAACAUCUUUGUAAAAUAAUUAAAUACCCCAAAGUGAUUAAAACAACAGCAUAAACAAUUAAUUAUACCCCUAUUAUAUUUUACAAAAUACUAAAUUAUUUUAGCUAGGUGCCCAAGUUAUUGUGGCAGUAGUAUAUUUACAAAUACUAAGUUAGGUGCUGGUGAUAAAUUUUACAAAAC